ensembl:lncRNA
AUUUUCUGAUUUCUCCAUAAGGUGUAACCUGUCUCUGCAUGAACCUUCUAGAAUAUUCCAAUUUUCUCCAAAGCCCAUCUUUAAAGUGAGAUCACACUUUGUAAGCUCUCUCCUACCUCUCCGUUGCCAAAUGCCUUUUCAUCUUGUGAGAGUCUUCCUGAUGCUUGCAGUGGAGUCUGAAGAGAAAUAAGCUUUGAUCUCUGUCUCCUGAAGUGCUUUCUCACCAUCAGUACAGUUCCAGGAUUCAGAAAUACUGGUUGCAACUGACAUGCCGUGAGUCCAUCUGGGACUGCAGACCCUGUUGUUACGGUGGCCUCCAGUGGGAGCUGUGGUGCAGACUGUGAUCCAUGAUGGGGUGAUCAGCGGUGCAGGCAAUUUGGAAAAAAGGAGACACAACCACAAAAAGGAAUUUUCCAUGUUCUGAUCCUCAUCUGGCCCUCCAAAGCAGGUGCUCCUACUGCCCAACACCCAGCACUGAUCUGAAAGGAAGCAGUGAUAUGUAAUCACCAUAUAUAUGGUGGUUAUUCUGCUUUGUGUCCCAACCAAACCACUCUGUGCAUGUGCUAAAACAAACAGCAGAGAUCAGCAAUAGAAGCAUCCUCUCAUGUCAGCUGCCUUUUCCAGCACAGGGCCUGACAGCAGGAGAAUAAGCACAGUGUUUGCUGACAAAGCUGGGCCUGGUGAUGCUCAGUGUCAUUUAUUUGGCAUCCUUGGGAAAGACUUGAAGCAGCACCUACCUGCUGGGCUCUGAGCUGCUAAAGGCAAUUUACACUGCAGAAGCAAGCCAGAAACAAUCCUGAAAGUUACUCAGAUAUGGAGACAUGCAUUAGCACUGACAAAAGUUCUCAAUCAGAAUCAACAUGGAGUUAUGUUUUCUAGGAAGCAGGAUGCAAAGUGGCCGUAUGAUCACUUAAAUAAGCAGAGAAUCCUAUUCUGGCAAGUACUGUAGAGCUAUUUGCUGGCAGUGCACUAUGCAGGCCAAGAAAUUGGAGCAUAGAAGUUUUACAGGUCACACAUUCUGAGCAUUCUGCAAUAACUGUGUCUGGGGAGAGAACACUUCUUCCUGUCCAUUUAGCUUAAUAAAUCAAAAUCAGACACCAGUAUCGUG